UCUUGAACUCCUGGUCUCAAGCGAUCCUCCCACCUUGGCCUCCCAAAGUGCUAGGAUUACAGGUACGAGCCACCACACAGGGCGACAAAUGAUUUUUAGUAAUUCCAUGUUUCACAGUAAUUGUUUCAUUUAGCAAUUAAUAUAGGCAAGUGAUAGAGACAAGUUCUCAAUUUAGAGAAAGAUGAGAUUGUUGGCAGGGUAGUCAGUGGUGACUUCGUGCGUGAGCAGGAACCUUGGCUUUCAGGGAGAUGAGUCAAAAUGCGAUGAUAGUAUUGGGAGAUCAGUACUGAGGGGUGGAGCCAUGAUAGUCCCAAGGUGCAGCGCCUGGCCUGAGAGCGUGAGAAAGGCAUCUAGAAGAGGGGAAACCUGUACUGAGUUUGAGGGGUGAGUGGUGUUACCUAGACAGAGGAAGGUGAGCAGGCACUCAAGGAGGAGAAGCCUGGCAACAUAUGCAAGAGAGGGAUUUAGGAACCUCUACAUCUUCUGUCUGCAUAUUUAGGGUGAGCUUUAUUAACAUAUUAUUUAACAGUAUCAUACACCCUACCUUAUACAGUGACUUGAAAUAAAUAUUCCUUUAUUCCCCUUUAAGGAUUUCAGCAGGCAGCUGAUGUAAUCGUACUUGCACUGCAACCUCAAGAGGAAUCUCUGCCUAAAUGAAACAAAGUGGAAGUAUACCAUGUACUCUUCUCUACCUUGAUAUUUUUUACUUGAGUCAUUUUGGAGGUGCUUCCAUAUCAGCACAUGUACAUCACCUCAUCUUCAAUGCUGUGUAGUAUUCCAAGUAUGGAUUCAACCACUGCUAUCAAUAUACAUUUAAAUGUUUUUCCUGGUUUUUACAAUCUUAUAAUUAAGUGAUGUUGUCAUAAAUAACAUGUAGAUAUGUCUUUGCAUUUCAGCGCUAGUAUAUCUGUAGAAUAGAAUAUCAGAAAUAAAAAUGCUAUUCCAAAGAA